rnacentral:tRNA from 1 species
GCCGCGGUGGCGGAAUUGGUAGACGCGCACGACUCAAACUCGUGUUCUACGGAGUGUGGGUUCGAUUCCCACCCGCGGUACAA